rnacentral:rRNA from 1 species
UACGGAGGAUCCGAGCGUUAUCCGGAAUUAUUGGGCGUAAAGAGCUUGUAGGCGGUUUGUCGCGUCUGCUGUGAAAAUCCGGGGCUCAACCCCGGACUUGCAGUGGGUACGGGCAGACUAGAGGGUGGUAGGGGAGACUGGAAUUCCUGGUGUAGCGGUGAAAUGCGCAGAUAUCAGGAGGAACACCGGUGGCGAAGGCGGGUCUCUGGGCCUUACCUGACGCUGAGGAGCGAAAGCAUGGGUAGCCAACAGGAUUAGAUACCCCCGUAGUCCCUGAG